CAUGUCCUUUUGAAAAUAAUUUAAGGUCUAAUCUGCUCAAUGAUAAAUUAAAUUGCCGCAGUAUUUUGACUGUGCAAAGGUAGCAUAAUAAUUAGCUUCUUAAUUAGAAGCUGGAAUGAAUGAUUGGACAAGAAAAUUUCUGUCUCUAUUUGAUUGUUUAUUGAAUUUUAUUUUUAAGUUAAAAAGCUUAAAUUUUUGUAAAAGACGAGAAGACCCUAUAGAGUUUAAUAUUUUAAUUUUAUUUAAUUUUAGAAUCUUUUUUAAUUUUGAAAUAUUUAGUUGGGGUGAUUUAAAGAUUAAUUUAAUUCUUUAACUUAUUAAUUGAUGAUAUUUAAAUUCUAAAUCUAUGUUAUUAAAUUUAAUAUAAAUUACCUUAGGGAUAACAGCGUAAUUUUUCUUUAAAGUUCUUAUUAAAAGAAGAUUUUGCGACCUCGAUGUUGGAUUAAAAUUAAUUUUUGGUGCAGUAACUUAAAAAUUAGGUCUGUUCGACCUUUAAAAUUUUACAUGAUCUGAGUUUAAACCGGUGUAAGCCAGGUUGGAUUCUAUCUUUAAAUAUUAAAAUAUAUUUUAGUACGAAAGGACCAAAUAUAUAUUAAAUUA
rnacentral:rRNA from 1 species